rnacentral:rRNA from 1 species
GAUGAACGCUGACAGAAUGCUUAACACAUGCAAGUCGAUUCGAUUUACCUUCGGGUAUUGAGGAUGGCGGACGGGUGAGUAACGCGUAAGGAACUUGCCUCUUGGUCUGGGACAACUGUUGGAAACGACAGCUAAUACCGGAUAUUAUGAGAUUCUCGCAUGGGAAACUUAUGAAAGCUAUAUGCGCCAAGAGAGAGCCUUGCGUUCCAUUAGCUAGUUGGUGGGGUAACGGCCCACCAAGGCGACGAUGGAUAGCCGGCCUGAGAGGGUGAACGGCCACAAGGGGACUGAGACACGGCCCUUACUCCUACGGGAGGCAGCAGUGGGGAAUAUUGGACAAUGGGCCACAAGCCUGAUCCAGCAAUUCUGUGUGCACGAUGAAGGUCUUCGGAUUGUAAAGUGCUUUCAGUUGGGAAGAAGAAAGUGACGGUACCAACAGAAGAAGCGACGGCUAAAUACGUGCCAGCAGCCGCGGUAAUACGUAUGUCGCAAGCGUUAUCCGGAUUUAUUGGGCGUAAAGCGCGUCUAGGCGGAAAAAUAAGUCUGAUGUUAAAAUGCGGGGCUCAACUCCGUAUUGCGUUGGAAACUGUUUUUCUAGAGUACUGGNGAGGUGGGCGGAACUACAAGUGUAGAGGUGAAAUUCGUAGAUAUUUGUAGGAAUGCCNAUGGAGAA